rnacentral:rRNA from 1 species
ACCUGGUUGAUCCUGCCAGUAGUCAUAUGCUUGUCUCAAAGGCUAAGCCAUGCAUGUGUAAGUAUGCGCCUUUAUGGCGAAACUGCGAAUGGCUCAUUAAAACAGUUAUAGUUUAUUUGAUAAUGAAUAUUACAUGGAUAACUGUAGUAACCUGGAGCUAAUACAUGCGUAAAACUCUGACUUUUUUGGAAGGAGUGUGUAUAUUAGUUGUAGAAUCUUUCCUGGUCUGCCAGGAGUAUCAUGGUGAAUCAUUAUAUCCAAACGGACCGCAUGACUUAUGUCGGCGGCAAAUCAUUCAAGUUUCUGACCUAUCAGCCUGACGGUAGGGUAUUGGCCUACCGUAGCUUUGACGGGUAACGGAGAAUUAGGGUUCGAUUCCGGAGAGGGAGCCUGAGAAAUGGCUACCACAUCUAAGGAUGGCAGCAGGCGCGCAAAUUACCCAAUUCUGACACAGAGAGGUAGUGACAAGAAAUAGCAAUUCGAAGCAUUUAGUUUUGAUUCUGCAAUGAGUGGGAUUUAAAUAUCCUCACGAGAAACAAUUGGAGGGCAAGUCUGGUGCCAGCAGCCGCGGUAAUUCCAGCUCCAAUAGCGUAUACUAAAGUUGUUGCGGUUAAAAAGCUCGUAGUUGGAUUUCUGCAGAAAUCGACCGUUGUUACUUCCGUAUUGGUUGUUCAACUGGUUUUCGAUGGACGCAUUUAGGCUUUUAAUGGCGAAACGGUACUUCACUGAACUGUUUGCCUGGAGCCGAUUUUACCUUGAGGAAAUUAGAGUG